GUGCUUUGGCAGCUCAUACACUAAAAUUGAAAUGAUACAGAGAAGAUUAACAUACCCCUUGUACAAGGAUGACAUGCAAAUUCAUGAAGAGUUCCAUAUUUUU